rnacentral:rRNA from 1 species
UUUGAUCCUGGCUCAGAUUGAACGCUGGCGGCAGGCCUAACACAUGCAAGUCGAGCGGUAACAGAGAGUAGCUUGCUACUCUGCUGACGAGCGGCGGACGGGUGAGUAAUGCUUGGGAAUAUGCCUUAUGGUGGGGGACAACAGUUGGAAACGACUGCUAAUACCGCAUGAUGUCUACGGACCAAAGUGGGGGACCUUCGGGCCUCACGCCAUAAGAUUAGCCCAAGUGGGAUUAGCUAGUUGGUGAGGUAAUGGCUCACCAAGGCGACGAUCCCUAGCUGGUUUGAGAGGAUGAUCAGCCACACUGGGACUGAGACACGGCCCAGACUCCUACGGGAGGCAGCAGUGGGGAAUAUUGCACAAUGGGCGCAAGCCUGAUGCAGCCAUGCCGCGUGUGUGAAGAAGGCCUUCGGGUUGUAAAGCACUUUCAGUAAGGAGGAAAGGUUAAGUGUUAAUAGC